GGUUAAGCGACUAAGCGUACACGGUGGAUGCCCUGGCAGUCAGAGGCGAUGAAGGACGUGCUAAUCUGCGAUAAGCGCCGGUAAGGUGAUAUGAACCGUUAUAACCGGCGAUUUCCGAAUGGGGAAACCCAGUGUGACUCGUCACACUAUCAUUAACUGAAUCCAUAGGUUAAUGAGGCGAACCGGGGGAACUGAAACAUCUAAGUACCCCGAGGAAAAGAAAUCAACCGAGAUUCCCCCAGUAGCGGCGAGCGAACGGGGAGGAGCCCAGAGCCUGAAUCAGCAUGUGUGUUAGUGGAAGCGUCUGGAAAGGCGCGCGAUACAGGGUGACAGCCCCGUACACAAAAGCGCAUGUGCUGUGAGCUCGAUGAGUAGGGCGGGACACGUGGUAUCCUGUCUGAAUAUGGGGGGACCAUCCUCCAAGGCUAAAUACUCCUGACUGACCGAUAGUGAACCAGUACCGUGAGGGAAAGGCGAAAAGAACCCCGGCGAGGGGAGUGAAAAAGAACCUGAAACCGUGUACGUACAAGCAGUGGGAGCACAGGUUUACCUGUGUGACUGCGUACCUUUUGUAUAAUGGGUCAGCGACUUAUAUUCUGUAGCAAGGUUAACCGUAUAGGGGAGCCGUAGGGAAACCGAGUCUUAACCGGGCGUUAAGUUGCAGGGUAUAGACCCGAAACCCGGUGAUCUAGCCAUGGGCAGGUUGAAGGUUGGGUAACACUAACUGGAGGACCGAACCGACUAAUGUUGAAAAAUUAGCGGAUGACCUGUGGCUGGGGGUGAAAGGCCAAUCAAACCGGGAGAUAGCUGGUUCUCCCCGAAAGCUAUUUAGGUAGCGCCUCGUGAAUUCAUCUCCGGGGGUAGAGCACUGUUUCGGCUAGGGGGCCAUCCCGGCUUACCAACCCGAUGCAAACUGCGAAUACCGGAGAAUGUUAUCACGGGAGACACACGGCGGGUGCUAACGUCCGUCGUGAAGAGGGAAACAACCCAGACCGCCAGCUAAGGUCCCAAAGUCAUGGUUAAGUGGGAAACGAUGUGGGAAGGCCCAGACAGCCAGGAUGUUGGCUUAGAAGCAGCCAUCAUUUAAAGAAAGCGUAAUAGCUCACUGGUCGAGUCGGCCUGCGCGGAAGAUGUAACGGGGCUAAACCAUGCACCGAAGCUGCGGCAGCGAACGUAUCACUUAAAGCGAUUCAGCGGGUUACGAUUGACGGAGCGAAGCGACGUCAAAGCGUAUACAAAGUCGAGUCGGUUUAAGGAUACGUUCGUUGGGUAGGGGAGCGUUCUGUAAGCCUGUGAAGGUGGCCUGUGAGGGUUGCUGGAGGUAUCAGAAGUGCGAAUGCUGACAUAAGUAACGAUAAAGCGGGUGAAAAGCCCGCUCGCCGGAAGACCAAGGGUUCCUGUCCAACGUUAAUCGGGGCAGGGUGAGUCGACCCCUAAGGCGAGGCCGAAAGGCGUAGUCGAUGGGAAACGGGUUAAUAUUCCCGUACUUGGUGUUACUGCGAAGGGGGGACGGAGAAGGCUAUGUUGGCCGGGCGACGGUUGUCCCGGUUUAAGCGUGUAGGUGUGUGUUCCAGGUAAAUCCGGUUCACUUUAACACUGAGGCGUGAUGACGAGGCACCACGGUGCUGAAGCAACAAAUGCCCUGCUUCCAGGAAAAGCCUCUAAGCAUCAGGUAACAUCAAAUCGUACCCCAAACCGACACAGGUGGUCAGGUAGAGAAUACCAAGGCGCUUGAGAGAACUCGGGUGAAGGAACUAGGCAAAAUGGUGCCGUAACUUCGGGAGAAGGCACGCUGACACGUAGGUGAAGUGAUUUACUCAUGGAGCUGAAGUCAGUCGAAGAUACCAGCUGGCUGCAACUGUUUAUUAAAAACACAGCACUGUGCAAACACGAAAGUGGACGUAUACGGUGUGACGCCUGCCCGGUGCCGGAAGGUUAAUUGAUGGGGUCAGCGCAAGCGAAGCUCCUGAUCGAAGCCCCGGUAAACGGCGGCCGUAACUAUAACGGUCCUAAGGUAGCGAAAUUCCUUGUCGGGUAAGUUCCGACCUGCACGAAUGGCGUAAUGAUGGCCAGGCUGUCUCCACCCGAGACUCAGUGAAAUUGAACUCGCUGUGAAGAUGCAGUGUACCCGCGGCAAGACGGAAAGACCCCGUGAACCUUUACUAUAGCUUGACACUGAACAUUGAGCCUUGAUGUGUAGGAUAGGUGGGAGGCUUUGAAGCGUGGACGCCAGUCUGCGUGGAGCCAACCUUGAAAUACCACCCUUUAAUGUUUGAUGUUCUAACGUGGACCCGUAAUCCGGGUUGCGGACAGUGUCUGGUGGGUAGUUUGACUGGGGCGGUCUCCUCCUAAAGAGUAACGGAGGAGCACGAAGGUUGGCUAAUCCUGGUCGGACAUCAGGAGGUUAGUGCAAUGGCAUAAGCCAGCUUGACUGCGAGCGUGACGGCGCGAGCAGGUGCGAAAGCAGGUCAUAGUGAUCCGGUGGUUCUGAAUGGAAGGGCCAUCGCUCAACGGAUAAAAGGUACUCCGGGGAUAACAGGCUGAUACCGCCCAAGAGUUCAUAUCGACGGCGGUGUUUGGCACCUCGAUGUCGGCUCAUCACAUCCUGGGGCUGAAGUAGGUCCCAAGGGUAUGGCUGUUCGCCAUUUAAAGUGGUACGCGAGCUGGGUUUAGAACGUCGUGAGACAGUUCGGUCCCUAUCUGCCGUGGGCGCUGGAGAACUGAGGGGGGCUGCUCCUAGUACGAGAGGACCGGAGUGGACGCAUCACUGGUGUUCGGGUUGUCAUGCCAAUGGCACUGCCCGGUAGCUAAAUGCGGAAGAGAUAAGUGCUGAAAGCAUCUAAGCACGAAACUUGCCCCGAGAUGAGUUCUCCCUGAGACUUUAGGUCUCCUGAAGGAACGUUGAAGACGACGACGUUGAUAGGCCGGGUGUGUAAGCGCAGCGAUGCGUUGAGCUAACCGGUACUAAUGAACCGUGAGGCUUAACCUU
rnacentral:rRNA from 1 species